AAAGACCUCUUUUCUGGUUUCCUGAUGUAUGCUGGAAGACAUGUCUAACCCUAUCAGUGGUCCCUGUGUUUUAGUGGGACUUGCUGUGGGGAAGGGAUUACUGUCUCUGUCUCUAUCAAGGAUACCUUGAUUCAUGGAAGUGGUGAUCCCAGCCCCAGAGAACAACCACUGACAGUGAGAAAGGCUGAUUGCAUUUAAAAGAGCUCUCCAGGUCUUGUGAGCUGAGCUAAGAUGCUGUCUGGCAGAUGAAUUGGAAUACUUGAAAGCUUUCUUGAAGACUUCUGCAAGAGUUGCUGGCUUCCACUAACAAGAACUUGAUUGGUUGCCAUCUGGUGUAUUGUGAACAGUCUCAGAGAGUAAGAGGCCAUCUGUUAAUACUUUUUCAGGAAGCUUUUUAUAGAGCAGUGAAGUGGCAAAUCUCAAAAACACGUUGUAAUGACUUACAAGAUCUCAGAUACUAAUCUGGGAGAUGAACCAUAUUUUGCUGUUGAUUGCAUGGAUGCUGCUCUGAUUGAUGGCAAAUAUUGUAUGGUUUGCUUCAUCUGCAGAUCUCAGAGUGCUUCUUAAAGACAGUCAUUAUAGCCUUCUACAAUGAAGGAAAGUGAGGCUCAGAAUGAUUUGGAUCUUGUAGUAGUUACUCAACACAUCUGAGUCAAAGCCCCAGUGGAUAACAAUGUAUUAGGCCAUCCAAAGAUUCCGUUGUCACUGGACAUAAGAAUUGAUCCUAGAAAAAAGCCUGUUUAAAUAUAUAUAUAUAUACACACACACACACACACAUAUAUAUAUACAUAUAUCUAUAUAUAAAAAUAAAAGUUUCCAGUUCAUUAGAAAUCCCUCUUCA
rnacentral:lncRNA from 1 species